ACCUGGUUGAUCUUGCCAGUAGUCAUAUGCUUGUCUCAAAGAUUAAGCCAUGCAAGUGAAAGUAUAUGCAUAUUUUAUAUGUAGAAACUGCGAACGGCUCAUUAAAACAGUUAUAAUCUACUUGACAUUUUUUCUAUAAGGAUAACUACGGAAAAGCUGUAGCUAAUACUUGCUUUAGCACUCUUGAUUCAUUUCUUGAGUGUGUACUUGUUAUGCCUUUUAAGAAAAAAGUUAUUAACUUAAGGAAUUAUAACAAAGAAGCGACACGUAAUGGAUCCGUCCAUUUUUAGUGUGUAUCAAUCGAGUUUCUGACCUAUCAGCUUUUGAUGUUAGGGUAUUGGCCUAACAUGGCUAUGACGGGUAACGGGGAAUUAGAGUUCGAUUCCGGAGAGGGAGCCUGAGAAAUAGCUACCACAUCUAAGGAAGGCAGCAGGCGCGUAAAUUACCCAAUUCUAAAGAAGAGAGGUAGUGACAAGAAAUAACAAUACAAGGCCAAUCUGGCUUUGUAAUUGGAAUGAUGGGAAUUUAAAACCUUCCCAAAACUCAAUUGGAGGGCAAGUCUGGUGCCAGCAGCCGCGGUAAUUCCAGCUCCAAUAGCGUAUAUUAAAAUUGUUGCAGUUAAAACGCUCGUAGUUGAAUUUCAAAGAAUCGAUAUUUUAAGCAACGCUUCUAGCUUAAUCCACAUAACUGAUACU
rnacentral:rRNA from 1 species